UUGGGGGAAUGUAUUAGUCCUCUUAUGAGGCUAGUUGUGUUUUUAGCAAUUUUAAAAACAUAACACCAACUACGUUGGCUAAAAUUCUAGAUAGAAUACUGAUUAUGACUAUUUUCUAUCUAUAUGUCUUGACCAAAUUACGUGCCAGCAGUCGCGGUAAUACGUAGAAGACUAGUGUUAUUCAUAUUUAACAGGUUUAAAGGGUACCUAGACGGUAUUAUUAACCCAAAACAGGGAUAUAUUUUUACUAGAGUUUGAUAUAAGAAGGGAGUAUUUAGAGAGUAGAGUUGAAAUUUUUUGAUACUCUAAGGACUGGUAAUGGCGAAGGCACUCUUCUAUGUAAUAACUGACGUUAAGGGACGAAGGCUUGGGGCGCGAACAGGAUUAGGUACCCUAGUAGUCCAUGCAGAUAAUUAUGAAUGCCAUAGACUAGGUAUAUUUUAGUUUAUAAAUGAAAGUGUAAGCAUUCCACCUCAAGAGUACUGUGGCAACGCUGGAACUGAAAUCAUUAGACCGUUUCUGAGAACAGUAGUGAAGUAUGUUAUAUAAUUCGAUAGUCCUCGUAAAACCUUACCACAACUUGAAUGGUGUCCAAUUUUAAUAUAAUAUUUGAACAAUAGCUAUUUAGACAACAUAAAGGUUAAUUUAGCUAGAUUAGAUAAAAAUAUAUAAUUAAUAGGAUGUUACAAGUGUUGCACGGUUGUCUUCAGCUAAUGUCGUGAGAUUUUGGUUAGUUCCUUUAAAUUAGCGUAAACCCGGGCUUUAUUUUUAAUAUUUAUUAUGAUAAAGCAGUUCGUCAUUAUAUCGAGAUAUGAUAA
rnacentral:rRNA from 1 species